rnacentral:rRNA from 1 species
GAUGAACGCUGGCGGCGUGCUUAACACAUGCAAGUCGAACGGAAAGGCCCAAGCUUGCUUGGGUACUCGAGUGGCGAACGGGUGAGUAACACGUGGGUGAUCUGCCCUGCACUUCGGGAUAAGCCUGGGAAACUGGGUCUAAUACCGGAUAGGACCACUUCUUGGAUGUUGUGGUGGAAAGUUUUUUCGGUGUGGGAUGAGCUCGCGGCCUAUCAGCUUGUUGGUGGGGUAAUGGCCUACCAAGGCGUCGACGGGUAGCCGGCCUGGGAGGGUGUACGGCCACAUUGGGACUGAGAUACGGCCCAGACUCCUACGGGAGGGAGCGGUGGGGAAUAUUGCACAAUGGGCGCAAGCCUGAUGCAGCGACGCCGCGUGGGGGAUGACGGCCUUCGGGUUGUAAACUCCUUUCGCUAGGGACGAAGCGUUUUGUGACGGUACCUGGAGAAGAAGCACCGGCUAACUACGUG